GGGGCAACCCUGGUGGCGAGUGGCGAACGGGUGAGUAAUGUAUCGGAACGUGCCCAGUCGUGGGGGAUAACGUAGUGAAAAUUACGCUAAUACCGCAUACGAUCUAUGGAUGAAAGCGGGGGACCGUAAGGCCUCGCGCGAUUGGAGCGGCCGAUAUCAGAUUAGGUAGUUGGUGAGGUAAAGGCUCACCAAGCCGACGAUCUGUAGCUGGUCUGAGAGGACGACCAGCCACACUGGGACUGAGACACGGCCCAGACUCCUACGGGAGGCAGCAGUGGGGAAUUUUGGACAAUGGGCGCAAGCCUGAUCCAGCCAUUCCGCGUGCAGGACGAAGGCCUUCGGGUUGUAAACUGCUUUUGUACAGAACGAAACAGUCUCUACUAAUACUAGGGGCGAAUGACGGUACUGUAAGAAUAAGCACCGGCUAAC
rnacentral:rRNA from 1 species